AUGCUUGUUUCAGCAGCACUUAGACCAAAAUUGGAAUAAUACAGAGAUUAGCAUGGGCCCUGUACAAGGAUGACACAGGAAUUCGUGAAGAGUUUCAUAUUUUU